GUUUUACUGUAUUUUUGAUCAAAUAAAUGCAGCCUUGGUGAACAUAAGAGGCUUCUUUCAAAAAUAUAAAAAACUCCAACCUAAAAAUUAUGAACUUUAGUGUUGAUAAUAUGCUGGCAGAUUUACCAAUUUAAAAAUGGGAAAUUUCAUAAAUAUUUACUGUGACACAAAGCCAAGUAUAUAAACAUUGUUUCUAUUAUGUCCAUAUCAUUGAUCAUAAUCUGAUUACUGGCUAAGCAAACUGGUUUGAUUUUUGAUGUAACUUUCUUAAUCUCUCUCUUUCUCUUCUUUUCCCUCACGCUGUCUCAGUUCUGAGGAAUCUCGUGCUAGUUCUGGCCUGUCCAUGAGGAGCUCAGCAGGGGCGCUCUCAGCGGCCCAGGGAUCAGACGCUGGGUCAGGGCCCAACAUAGAGCCUUUGGAUAUGUUUAUGUUGGGGCAGGACCAGGACUCUCUUCGAGGACACGUGGACUCUGGUCUGACCCCUGAUGCUCCUCGGUCGGUCUCUGAGAGGGUCUCCCCAACACUCCCCUCCUCCCCGGGCCGUCCAGGUGCCAACGUUAAACCAGUCCUGCCACCCAUCCCAUCUGGAAGGAAGACCAAUGAUUCUGGCUCAAACAGUAACUAACAGGACAGAGAGCUAAAGAGGGUAUAGACAGUGAGAUAUUAGCACAUCAUGUGAGUGUAAGCAGCAAAAAUAGAUUUUUGAAAUAAGUUUAAUUAACCCCUGUAGCUUCAAGCCAACCAUUCAAUAAAUGUCAAUGAAGGCAACAGAUGUGCUCAGUGCUUUGAGGCAAAAGCAGUCGGGUCAUUGGAAAAUAUUCCCAUCUCUCAUCUGUGUCCUCCAGUGUGUGUGAUCUGAGAGGUUGAAGGCUUAUCUGUCAUCAGCAGAUCUAAGCUCUGGAAACGGCCUGAAGCUCUUAAAUCCCUGGACACAGGAAGUAAGGCAAGAAGGUGUGCAAUGGAGGUCACACUUUACAUCACAACGUUCAUGUUACAGAAUAAUCACUUUGCUAUACCGUUCAAAAGUUUGGGGUCUAAAAGUUAUUUAUUUAUAAAAAAGAUUUUGAUUGAUUGAUUUUUGUUUAAAUAAGAGAACUAUUAAAAGAUUAAAGUAUUAAAUUAUGAAAUUAAAUAAAAGUUAUAGUAAAGACAAUAAUAAAGUCACAACAAAAUGAUAUUUCAAAUAAAUGGUGUCAGCUUUGCCAUCACAGGAAUAAAAUACAGUUUAAAAUAAAAAACAUUUUAAUUUGUAAUAAUAUUUUACAAUAUUAUUUUACUUUGAUCAAAUAAAUGCAGUCUUGGUGAGCAUUUAUUUCAGUAUCGUUUUAAAAAUAGUACUCAACCCUAACUUUAGAAUUCAUUGCAAGUAACUUUGGAUAAUUAUGGCGGCCCAGUAGUGCACAACACAACAGAAAUAAGCCGCAAAGCAAUGAAAUUAGCACAAAACAAAUGUAAACAAGUCGCAACACAACAGAAACAAGCUGCAAAGCAACACAAUUAGCACAAAAUUAUGCAAACAAGUCAUAACACAACAGAAACAAGCCACAACACAACAGAAAUAAGCCACAACACAACAGAAACAAGCUGCAAUGCAACAAAAUUAGCACAAAACAAUGAAAACAAGCCACAACACAACAGAAACAAGUCGCAUCGCAACGAUAUUAGCACAACACAGCAUAAACAAUGUGAAACGCAACGAUAUUAGCACAACACAGCAUAAACAAGGUGCAAUGCAAUGAUAUUAGCACAACACAGCAUAAACAAGGUGCAACGCAAUGAUAUUAGCACAACACAGCAUAAACAAGGUGCAACGCAACAAAAUUAGCACAACAAAGCAGAAUUAGCGCAAAACAACUAAAAUUAUUCCAAUGCUUUUUUGGUUGUGGCGAUUUCAGUGUGUUGUGGAGAUUUUGUUGUGUUAUGCACUACUGACCCAAUGUAGAUUGUUAGCAUAAAUAUAUAGCAUAAAAUAAAUAGCACAAGAACAUUUUAGCAUAAAUUAACACAAUUAUGUUAACAUAAUAUGUAUGUACAGUAACAUGAACUUGUAAUCUUUGUGUAACUCAGUGAUCUUCUGCGGCUCAUUCCUUACCACAAAUGAGUAGCUGGAGCGGUUGAGGAGACUCUCCUCCUGUAAUUAAUGUAUUUUAUGGCUCAAUCUGACACACAGACUGAGUAAAUAUAGUGAGACAGCUAUCCGGGUAUCUCAUGACACAAGUUGCAUUUCAUUUCCACUUUCAUUUUUCAUCAGCGUGCAGUGAGCCUGUGUGUGUAUCUGUACAGUAAGCACACACACACACAAACCUGGCCGUCUAUCAGCGUCAGUCCCUCUAACCAGCAGAUGUUGCAGUGAUCUCAUAAUUCAGAGGCAGUUUCAGACAAGACAGUUGUGCAAACCCUCGGGCAUAACCUACUUACAGAAACAGUCUUCACACUUUUACUAUCUUGUCACACUCAUCUAGAUCUCACGCUUCUAAUGCUGCACUAUAUACAACUAUAUGAAAUUAUUCCUUCAUGAAUGAAGUCAGAUAACUUGGUCUUGGUCAAAUGAACAUGAAGUGAUAACAAAUAGAUAUCGUGGCCGUGACUUUAGAUUUAAUUCCUCGAGAAUUUAUCAAUUUGUGUCUGUGUACAGUAUUUAUUCGUUUGUUCCUUCAUUUUAGUAAAAUCAUGGCCACAUUAUAAUUAAUGUACUUAUUUGAAUUUAGACAAAUCAUGACCACAGCUUUUUUAACCUGCAUUUAUCGUAUAACAUCAUAGCCAUACAUAAUCAUACAUAUAUUUUUGCUUAAGAUCUAAGGGUAAAAAUAAACUUAGUGACUUAAAAAAAAUAUUUUUGUGAUUUGUUAGAAAUAGAAUUUUAAUGCUAAUGCUAGCUUUUUAGAUUUUUUUUGUAGCAAGAAAGGCCCAAAACUUAAAAUGAUGCAUAUACUGUCUGUGUGUGUAUAGAUAUAGAUAUAGAUAUAGAUAUAGAUAUAGAUAUUCUGUGAAUGGUGCUUUGGAAAGCUCAAAAUUAUUAUUUAAGACCAAAAAAUAUAUAAAUAAAAUUGGAACCUUUAUUUUUUAGAAUGUAGAGGUAACCUACAACACAGACACCCUUUUAUAAAAUCAUGGAGAUUUUCAUGACAAGCUGACUCAUAAUUUCCUUCUCUUCUUUCAUCUUCGGACAUAUUUCCAUAACCUGGCCUCUGAAAACCAAGAUCAUAUUUCAGAGAAGGACAAACCUGUCCACAUUAUAUUAUCCAGAGCAGCGCUGGGAGACAAAGAAACCGGCAUAAAUCAUCUUUUCCACACAGAGACGAGCAAGAGAGGCUAAAUCAUAGUAGAGCUGUUGUAUUUUACCCUCAUUGCUGCUACAGCUAUUUGUCAGCUCAGGCCUACAGGGCCACAGCUGUGACUGUUCUUGAUACACUACAUUGUUAAAAUGGGGCUUCAGUGAAGUUUAGGCAUAUGGUUUCUCAGACACAGCAUAGAGAUUGUGGAUUAUAAAUAGGAACUAUUUCUAAAUAUUCAUCUGCAUUAUAUUCUUCAUUCUGCUAAUAGAAGUUUUUUUAAGCAAUAUCAUUACACUGUAUGAGUAAGAGUGCUGUUGUACUGAACAUCAACAGACUUGCUUUCAUAUACCAGUUCAAUAAGCAAUCCGUUAAUAUGAGUGUGUAAUUAAAACUUUAAUGCGAGUACUUGUUAUAAAUGAUUUAGCACUAUCAAUGCUGUUUCCUUGUGGCUUUGACUGCUUAUGCAUGUAAACGAGGCAAACACCAGACAUCCAACUAAUAACUUUAAUCAAAGACUGAUUUUAAUUUUAUAUCAAGACAUUGCAUUGCACUGCAUUUGUGUUUGCAGACUUAAAAGUACAUUCAUAAAUAUACCAUGCUUACUUAUUAAUAUUUUGUCCGAUUGGUCUAAUUAAUUAUACUUUCAGUAGCCAAGCAGUUUUGGUAAGUGUCCCUCUUACAGUUUAAUUAUACAGAUUUUGAAAGCAUGUCACUUACAGAUGCAUUUGAGCUGGACGUACAGUGUUAGAGGCUUCAGGUAUUAAUAAAACAUUCAGACAGAGAAAUGAUUAUUAUGUGCUGUUGAUUGAUGCAUAUCUUCAACCGUUCAACAAAUGUGAAGAAUGUAAUUUGUGUCUUCACAUAUCGAUGUCCUCUAUAAAUGAUUUCUUAUUUGUAGUGUAAAAUUGAAUCGAAUCGAAUCUAAUAUUGUAGUUACUUCUAAAGUAAGCUUCUUUAAUUUGGCUUGGCUGUUUGUGUUGAGUCAACAUUUAAUCUUUAAAGGUGUAGUUAGCUUCACCCCUGGGAACUGACUAGCGCUUCUGCUUGGAAUCCAUGCAGCUCAGUUGUUGUUACCAAGGUAACCGGCUCUCUGCAAUGCACCUUCUGAUUGUGUGUUUGGAGACAGGAAGCCUGAAGCAUUGACUUCAUGUGCCAACAGCCCCACAUUAAUUCCCUCUCAUGCUGAUGGAGGAAGAUUUCUGAUACUUUUAAUUAGGUGAUACUCACUCUCCUACACAGUUUCUUGUUCUUUCUCUGCCUUGUGCAUUGUCAGACAAAUUAUAAAAGUUUUGAGACUUGUUAAAAUGCUUGUUUAAAGGAAGCAGCUUAAACUGAAGUCAGCCUGACUUAAUGGUCACACAUCGUCACAGUUGAGAAUAGAAUGAGGGUCCAGUAUAUAAUUACUGAAAAUGGUUGAACUUUAACAGUGGCAUGUUGGCACACUCUCGAAAUACAAUACAAGAGGCACACAUACCAUGGUUUUAUAUUGAUAUAAUGUAGGCUAUUAUGCAAUUACUGUAAUAAUAUGAUGCUUAUUGUAGUAACACAUUUUUAACCUAUUAACCAAUUUUAAUUACCUUUUAAUCUUUUUUUUUUUAAUCUUAUUUAUUAGAUGAUUUGUGCUUAAUGUUUAUUAAAUCAUGUUACCAUUUCUUGGUAUUUUAUUUAUACUUUUUUUUUUUUUUUUUUUACAUAAUUUUAUUUUACAUAACUUAUUUUUCUUUAUUGUGUAUUAGAUUAUUAGAUCAUAUAUUUUUAACAAUGUUUCUCAAUCAUGUUACCAAAUCUAUGUAUUUUAUUUAUUUAUUAUAUUAUUCAUUGUUUA
ensembl:lncRNA